UACGUAGGGCGCAAGCGUUGUCCGGAAUUAUUGGGUCGGUAAAGAGCUCGUAGGCGGUCUGUCGCGUCUGGUGGUGAAACUCCCAUGGCUCAACUGGUGGGCUUGCAUGGGGUACGGGCAGACUAGAGUGCUGUAGGGGAGACUGGAAUUCCUGGUGUAGCGGUGAAAUGCGCAGAUAUCAGGAAGAACACCCGUGGCGAAGCGGCUCUCUGGAACGGUACUGGACGCUGAGACGCGAAAGCGUGGGAGCGAACAGG
rnacentral:rRNA from 1 species